rnacentral:rRNA from 1 species
CCUACGGGUGGCAGCAGUGAGGAAUAUUGGUCAAUGGCCGAGAGGCUGAACCAGCCAAGUCGCGUGAGGGAAGAAUGUCCUAUGGAUUGUAAACCUCUUUUGUCAGGGAGCAAAGUCACCCACGUGUGGGUGUUGGCGAGUAACUGAAGAAAAAGCAUCGGCUAACUCCGUGCCAGCAGCCGCGGUAAUACGGAGGAUGCGAGCGUUAUCCGGAUUUAGUGGGUUUAAAGGGUGCGUAGGCGGGUUAUCAAGUCAGCGGUAAAAGCGUGGAGCUCAACUCCAUCCAGCCGUUGAAACUGAUGAUCGUGAGUGGGCGAGAAGUAUGCGGAAUGCGUGGUGUAGCGGUGAAAUGCAUAGAUAUCACGCAGAACUCCGAUUGCGAAGGCAGCAUACCGGCGCCCGACUGACGCUGAAGCACGAAAGCGUGGGUAUCGAACAGGAUUAGAUACCCCAGUAGUC